CCUACGGGUGGCAGCAGUGAGGAAUAUUGGUCAAUGGCCGAGAGGCUGAACCAGCCAAGUCGCGUGAGGGAAGACUGCCCUACGGGUUGUAAACCUCUUUUAUCUGGGAAUAAAGCGAGUCACGUGUGAGCCAUUGAGAGUACCCGAAGAAAAAGGAUCUGCUAACUCCGUGCCAGCAGCCGCGGUAAUACGGAGGAUCCGAGCGUUAUCCGGAUUUAUUGGGUUUAAAGGGUGCGCAGGAGGGAGGUCAAGUCAGCCGUUAAAGUUCGGGGGUCAACCCCAGAAUUGCCGUUGAACCUGCAUCUCUUGAGUGCGGUAGAGGUAUGCGGAAUGCGUGGUGUAGCGGUGAAAUGCAUAGAUAUCACGAAGAACUCCGAUUGCGAAGGCAGCCUACCGGAGCGCAACUGACGCUGAUGCUCGAAAGCGUGGGUAUCGAACAGGAUUAGAUACCCGAGUAGUC
rnacentral:rRNA from 1 species